UCGUUGAUAGGCCGGGUGUGUAAGCGCAGCGAUGCGUUGAGCUAACCGGUACUAAUGAACCGUGAGGCUUAACCUUACAACGCCGAAG
rnacentral:rRNA from 1 species